UACGAAGGGGGCUAGCGUUGCUCGGAAUCACUGGGCGUAAAGGGUGCGUAGGCGGGUCUUUUAAGUCAGGGGUGAAAUCCUGGAGCUCAACUCCAGAACUGCCUUUGAUACUGAAGAUCUUGAGUUCGGGAGAGGUGAGUGGAACUGCGAGUGUAGAGGUGGAAUUCGUAGAUAUUAGGAAGAACACCAGUGGCGAAGGCGGCUUACUGGUCCGGAACUGACGCUGAGGUGCGAAAGCGUGGGGAGCAAACAGG
rnacentral:rRNA from 1 species